CGCGUAGGCGGCUUGGCAAGUUGGAUGUGAAAGCCCUGGGCUCAACCCAGGAAGUGCAUCCAAAACUGCCUGGCUUGAAUCUCGGAGGGGGUCAGGGAAUUCCCGGUGUAGAGGUGAAAUUCGUAGAUAUCGGGAGGAACACCAGUGGCGAAGGCGCUGACCUGGACGAUGAUUGACGCUGAGGCGCGAAAGCGUGGGGAGCAAACAGGAUUAGAUACCCUGGUAGUCC
rnacentral:rRNA from 1 species